rnacentral:rRNA from 1 species
AUGGCCAUCUUCGACGAGUUCUACGUUAGGUACAUCGACCUCGGAAGCCUCAACUAUGGGAUCAUUUCGCUCAUCCCCAAAGUGCCUGGUGCUUCCGACAUUCGCCAGUUCCGAUCGAUCACGGUUAUCAAUGUGAUCUUCCGGAUUCUGGCAAAAGGGUACGCCAAUAGGGUGCUGCUCGCCGACCACAUUACGGACCCCAACCAGUAUGCCUUCAUUCAAGGGCGAUAUAUCCUGGAUGGGGUGCUAGUCCUCCAUGAAGUCCUCCAUGAGGUCCGGUCUAAACACCUCAGGGCGGUCUUCCUGAAGAUCGAUUUCCAUAAGGCGUACGACACUGUUAGUUGGCCCUUC